UUUCCAGAGAUGGAUUGGUGCCUUCGGGAACUGUGAGACAGGUGCUGCAUGGCUGUCGUCAGCUCGUGUUGUGAAAUGUUGGGUUAAGUCCCGCAACGAGCGCAACCCUUAUCCUUUGUUGCCAGCGGUCCGGCCGGGAACUCAAAGGAGACUGCCAGUGAUAAACUGGAGGAAGGUGGGGAUGACGUCAAGUCAUCAUGGCCCUUACGACCAGGGCUACACACGUGCUACAAUGGCGCAUACAAAGAGAAGCGACCUCGCGAGAGCAAGCGGACCUCAUAAAGUGCGUCGUAGUCCGGAUUGGAGUCUGCAACUCGACUCCAUGAAGUCGGAAUCGCUAGUAAUCGUGGAUCAGAAUGCCACGGUGAAUACGUUCCCGGGCCUUGUACACACCGCCCGUCACACCAUGGGAGUGGGUUGCAAAAGAAGUAGGUAGCUUAACCUUCGGGAGGGCGCUUACCACUUUGUGAUUCAUGACUGGGGUGAAGUCGUAACAAGGUAACCGUAGGGGAACCUGCGGUUGGAUCACCUCCUUACCUUAAAGAA
rnacentral:rRNA from 1 species